rnacentral:lncRNA from 1 species
UUUAAGUUCUCUAGCAUCUUCGAUUAAGCUCUGUUUGGCCUGUGAGCCUGCAGACUUAAAGAAUGAUCUCACUCAUCUGCCAGACAGACGGGGUCUCUCCCAAGUCCACCCAGUAUGCCUUAAAGAAAGGAGGCCAAAUGACUUUGGAAACAAAAAAACCCAACCCAAACAUACAUACAUACGAACACAGAGGCAAAGGUUGGCAUACAUGUCAAGAGAACAUUCUCCAGCUGGGGCCUGCAGUAUAGAGAAUUGUAUACUCCAGAGGGCUCAUGGGACCUUGGGCAGAUUAUUAUGGUAAUAUUGGAGACUGCUGUCCUUUCCCUCCCACAGCUGGGCCGCCUCUCUCAUUGUAAGUAUUGAAGCAAUAUGUUUUGCAAAUUAUACAUUGGGAACAACAGGGACCCAGGAAAGUGAGGGAGAAAGAGAAACAUGGCAAAAUGUUAUCUUUAAUAUGAUAUUUUUCUUGUUCAUCAAGC